rnacentral:rRNA from 1 species
CUACGUGCCAGCAGCCGCGGUAAUACGUAGGGCGCGAGCGUUGUCCGGAAUUAUUGGGCGUAAAGAGCUUGUAGGCGGUUUGUCGCGUCUGCUGUGAAAGGCCGGGGCUUAACUCCGUGUAUUGCAGUGGGUACGGGCAGACUAGAGUGCAGUAGGGGAGACUGGAAUUCCUGGUGUAGCGGUGGAAUGCGCAGAUAUCAGGAGGAACACCGAUGGCGAAGGCAGGUCUYUGGGCUGUAACUGACGCUGAGAAGCGAAAGCAUGGGGAGCGAACAGGAUUAGAUACCCUGGUAGUCCAUGCCGUAAACGUUGGGCACUAGGUGUGGGGAACAUUCCACGUUUUCCGCGCCGUAGCUAACGCAUUAAGUGCCCCGCCUGGGGAGUACGGCCGCAAGGCUAAAACUCAAAGAAAUUGACGGGGGCCCGCACAAGCGGCGGAGCAUGCGGAUUAAUUCGAUGCAACGCGAAGAACCUUACCAAGGCUUGACAU